rnacentral:rRNA from 1 species
UACGAAGGGGGCUAGCGUUGCUCGGAAUUACUGGGCGUAAAGGGCGCGUAGGCGGACAGUUAAGUCAGAGGUGAAAGCCCAGGGCUCAACCCUGGAAUUGCCUUUGAUACUGGCUGUCUUGAGUGCGGGAGAGGUGUGUGGAACUCCGAGUGUAGAGGUGAAAUUCGUAGAUAUUCGGAAGAACACCAGUGGCGAAGGCGGCUCACUGGCCCGGUACUGACGCUGAGGUGCGAAAGCGUGGGGAGCAAACAGG